rnacentral:rRNA from 1 species
GACUAUCAGCAGGGACGAUAAUGACGGUACCUGACUAAGAAGCCCCGGCUAACUACGUGCCAGCAGCCGCGGUAAUACGUAGGGGGCAAGCGUUAUCCGGAAUUACUGGGUGUAAAGGGUGCGUAGGCGGUAAUGUAAGUCAGGUGUGAAAGCCCGAAGCUCAACUUCGGGAUUGCACUUGAAACUACAUAACUAGAGUACAGGAGAGGUGAGUGGAAUUCCUAGUGUAGCGGUGAAAUGCGUAGAUAUUAGGAGGAACACCAGUGGCGAAGGCGACUCACUGGACUGUAACUGACGCUGAGGCACGAAAGCGUGGGGAGCGAACAGGAUUAGAUACCCUGGUAGUCCACGCUGUAAACGAUGAAUGCUAGGUGUCGGCUCUUAAAGGGUCGGUGCCGAAGUUAACACAUUAAGCAUUCCACCUGGGGAGUACGUACGCAAGUAUGAAACUCAAAGGAUUGACGGAAACUCAAA